UACAGAGGUGGCAAGCGUUGUUCGGAAUUACUGGGCGUAAAGGGCGCGUAGGUGGCCUUCUUAGUCAGACGUGAAAUCCCCAGGCUUAACCUGGGAACUGCGUCUGAUACUGGAAGGCUCGAGUUCGGGAGAGGAAUGUGGAAUUCCAGGUGUAGCGGUGAAAUGCGUAGAUAUCUGGAGGAAUACCGGUGGCGAAGGCGGCAUCCUGGACCGGCAUUGACGCUGAGGAGCGAAAGCCAGGGGAGCAAACGGG
rnacentral:rRNA from 1 species